UGGUGGAGUGAUUUGUCUGGUUAAUUCCGAUAACGAACGAGACCCCGUCCUACUUACUAGACCGAGGAUCCUCUCGUUCUCGCUGUCUUCUUAGAGGGACAACUGCUUAUACCUUGAGCUACAUGAAAUGGGGCAAUAACA
rnacentral:rRNA from 1 species